UACGGAGGGUGCAAGCGUUAUCCGGAUUCACUGGGUUUAAAGGGAGCGUAGGCGGGUUGUUAAGUCAGUGGUGAAAGCCCUCAGCUCAACUGAGGAACUGUCAUUGAUACUAAUGAUCUUGAAUGUCGUUGAGGUUUGCGGAAUGGGUCAUGUAGCGGUGAAAUGCUUAGAUAUGACACAGAACACCGAUUGCGAAGGCAGCUCACUAAGCCAUAACUGACGCUGAUGCACGAAAGCGUGGGGAGCAAACAGG
rnacentral:rRNA from 1 species